CUCUCGGUCACUUGUGAAUAGUUAGUGUAAUUCGGGACGAUUUUCAAAAAGUUGAUAGCCCGGUUGAUAGUUUCCUGAUAAGAUCGAGACUACUCAAAGGAAAUAUCAAAUAUGAUUCUGUUCAAGUGUAGUCGUCAUAGCGUUAUUCAGACAGACAGAUUUGUUUGCCAGCCCUUGUCAACAUUUCCUAAUAUUACCCUUGAGAUACACUCUUUACAAGGUAUCAGCAUGAACGAUAAGAAGAGGGAGAGAGGGGAACUACUGCUGCCACUCCACCUACUGGUCCCUAGAAAAGGAAAAAGGAUGUAGAGAACACUUUAGAUUCUCAAUGGAUAUAAACAGAUUCUUCAGGACUCUACUGAGCAUGUGCAAUGACCUGAUGAACUCUGGCCAAGCCAUUCAGAUCCAGUUCCUGGAUGGGGUAGUUAAAGGAACCAUCCUUGGUUAUCUCCUACCCAGUCUAGUCACAGCUCUAUGUCAUCUUAGUCUGGCCCUAGAUGAAGCCCUGAUCCCUUACUGCCUCAUCAGUCAGGAGUGAAAAGAGCUGUGAGAACUAUCAUACGAAGCUUCAAAUCUCAACGCCCUGGGCCUCCGGUAAGACAGUAAAGACCAUUCAUCUUGUCAGGGAUAACCACAAGCUCAGAGAGACUGUUCACAUCCAAAGGGCAAGGUGCCUAUAAGAUUUGAACCUCAUUGUGCAUCCCAGUAUGAUUAUGACAAGUUGCCUACUUAGGUUGAAAUAUGCUGGACCCAAUACAAAUUCAAGGAAAGUUGUGGAAUAUGGAGGCAAUACGUAUGGCUACGAUAGGAGUGUUUGAGAUCAGGCCAGCCUAAAGACUUAGUCAAGGGAACGCCUACCUCAACGGGACCAAACUCUUUCAAGAAGUGCAAGACAGGAUUCAGUAGACCCUCGGCCAAGUGGAACAUCAAGAGCAACAUCAAGCAAACAUCAAGCAAACACAACAAGAGCAACAACAAGCAAACACAUCUAGAAGAGCACCAGCUGGAUGGCAGGUUAUAGUGUCAGAUGGAAAUAAGGGUUACAAGAAAUGUAUUAUAUUCAUGUACAGAGAGAAAGGGGGAAGGGGGAGGCAAAUAUUCUCAAUAUACAAGUCAACGAAGUGAUGAAAUGCGAGACUCUGAGCAUGCUCAUACUCAAAUAUACUUGGUAAACCUUUUGAUAUCUAUUGAGACGAUUUUGUCUCGCCUGCAUAGCAGAGUGAUACUAUAGGCGCUGCUUUUCCGACGGUGGCGGCGGCGGCGUUAACAUCAAAUCUUAACCGAAGGUUGAGUUUUUGAAUUGUCAUAACUUAGAAAGUAGAUAAGCCUAGUUCAUGAAACUUAGAUAAGGGUAAUCAAGUACUACUAAACACCCUGCCGAGUUUCAGGUCACAUGACCAAGGUCAAAGGUCAUUUAGAGUCAAUGAACUUUGGCCAUGUCGGGAGUAUUUGUUGAUUUCCAUCAUAACUUUAAAAGUUUAUGGAUCUGGUUCUUGAAACUUAGACGUAAGAGUAAUCAAGUAUUGCUAAACACCCUGCCUGAGUUUCAGGUCACAUGACCAAAGUCAAAGGUCAUUUAAGGUCAAUGAACUUAGAUUAUGUUGGGGGGAUAAAAAAGAAAUCUUAACCAAUUAAGGUUAAGUUUUUUAAAAUCAUGACUCUGAUUGUAUAUGGAUCUAGUUCAUGAAACUUGGAUAUAAGAGUAAUCAAGCAUUAGUAAACAUCCUGCGUGAGUUUCAGGUCACAUGACCAAGGUCAAUGAACUUUGGCCGUGUUGGGGGUAUUUGUUGAUUUCCAUAAAAACUUUGAAAGUUUAUGGAUCUGGUUCCUGAAACUUGGACAUAAGAGUAAUCGAGUCUUACUUUAACACCCUGCCUGAGUUUCAGGUCAUAUGACCAAGGUCAAAGAUCAUUAAGGGUCAGUGAACAUAGUAUAUUAUCAUCAUACGAAUGGUGUUUUUUGUGAAUGAUUAUCAUCUGCUCACAGUUUUUAGGCUUAUAACUUUGUAAGUUGAUAUAAGUAGUUUUUAGGCUUUUAACUUUGUAAGAUUAUAUAAGUUAGAAAGAAGAAAACAGUUUCUUAAAUGAAUAAUGUACAUCUAACAAAUUCCCUAAAGUUGUCCUUCAUUGGUCAUUCCUAAUUAUUUAUUUUACAAUCUUUAUGAUGGUAAAGGCGAGGAUUGUCUGGCGUGGCACGUGUCAUCACGUCACAUGAUGAUGAUCACGCAUACUCUUUUGUUGAGGGCUGGAGCUUGUCAAGCAUGAAAACUUUUUAAAAAAGGCUCCCAGUAGUUUUUUUAUUUAAAGAAAUAUAUAUAUAUAAUUGUCAUAUUCAGAAUCACCUGGGAGUAUAUGUUAAUUUCAUUUUUUGCCCAUUUUGAUUGCAGGGGCCCUUUCAUAACCAGGCACUAUGCUCUUUAAAGGACAAGUCUACCCCCAAUAAAAAAGUUGAUUGG